UACGUAGGGUGCGAGCGUUAAUCGGAAUUACUGGGCGUAAAGCGCGCGUAGGUGGCUGUCUAAGUCGGAUGUGAAAUCCCCGGGCUUAACCUGGGAACUGCAUUCGAUACUGGACAGCUAGAGUAUGAGAGAGGGAGGUAGAAUUCCACGUGUAGCGGUGAAAUGCGUAGAUAUGUGGAGGAAUACCGGUGGCGAAGGCGGCCUCCUGGCUUAAUACUGACACUGAGGUGCGAAAGCGUGGGGAGCAAACAGG
rnacentral:rRNA from 1 species